rnacentral:misc_RNA from 1 species
GAAAUGCGAUAAGUAGUGUGAAUUGCAGAAUUCAGUGAAUCAUCGAAUCUUUGAACGCACAUUGCGCCCCUUGGUAUUCCAUGGGGCAUGCCUGUUCGAGCGUCAUUUGUACCCUCAAGCUCUGCUUGGUGUUGGGUGUUUGUCCCGUCUCCGCGCGUGUACUCGCCCCAAAGUGAUUGGCAGCCGGCGUACUGGUCCCGGAGCGCAGCACAUGUCGCGCAAACGAGUGCCUUGGUACGGCGGCGUCCAUAAGCCCCUCUCUCACGCUCUUGACCUCGGAUCAGGUAGGGAUACCCGCUGAACUUAAGC